rnacentral:rRNA from 1 species
GACGGGUUAGUAACGCGUGGGAAUAUGCCCUUCUCUACGGAAUAGCCUCGGGAAACUGAGAGUAAUACCGUAUACGCCCUUCGGGGGAAAGAUUUAUCGGAGAAGGAUUAGCCCGCGUUGGAUUAGGUAGUUGGUGGGGUAAUGGCCUACCAAGCCGACGAUCCAUAGCUGGUUUGAGAGGAUGAUCAGCAACACUGGGACUGAGACACGGCCC